rnacentral:rRNA from 1 species
UACGUAGGCAGCAAGCGUUGUUCGGAGUUACUGGGCGUAAAGGGUGUGUAGGCGGUUUUUUAAGUUUGGUGUGAAAUCUCCCGGCUCAACUGGGAGGGUGCGCCGAAUACUGAAAGACUAGAGUGCGGGAGAGGAAAGUGGAAUUCCUGGUGUAGCGGUGAAAUGCGUAGAUAUCAGGAGGAACACCGGUGGUGUAGACGGCUUUCUGGACCAUUGCUGACGCUGAGACACGAAAGCGUGGGUAGCAAACAGG